rnacentral:rRNA from 1 species
CGGCAGCAAUCUUCAUGGUUGCUGGGUAGGAGAGCGUCCUGCAUGGGGCGAAGCGGCCGGGUAACCGUGCCGUGGACCGUGUGGGAGUGAGAAUGCAGACAUGAGUAGCGAGAGACGGGUGAGGAUCCCGUCCGCUGGAUGACCAAGGGUUCCGGGGCCACGUUCGUCGUCCCCGGGUGAGUCGGGUCCUAAGGCGAGGCCGACAGGCGUAGUCGAAUGGAUGAACGGGUGGAUAUUCCCGUACCGACCAUGGACCGGCAAAACCGAGACGGUGAGUACUAACCUCCGCCUCGUGGUGGUUCCUUCCUUCGGGUUGGUUCCGUCGCGUGGUGUUGGGACUGUAGCCGCAGUAGGUCAGCGCAGGGGUGACACGGAAUGGGAGCCGGCCGCGGAGGUGGUUUUCCGUGGUCAAGCACGCAGCCAGUCAUGUAGGCAAAUCCGCAUGGCAUGCAUGGCGAGGUGUGAUGAUGGGAACCGUUAUGGUUCGAUAUCCGGUUGUCCAGGCCGUCGAGAAAAGCCUCGGCGUGAGGGCCAUGGCCGCCCGUACCCCAAACCGACACUGGUGGUCAGGUAGAGAAUACCAAGGCGAUCGAGCGAAUCCUGGUCAAGGAACUCGGCAAAUCACUCCCGUGCCUUCGGUAUAAGGGAGACCCACUGGGGUGAAGGACCUUGCGUCCGGAGCUUUGGUGGGUGGCACAGACCAGGGGGUAGCGACUGUUUACCAAAAACACAGGUGCAUGCGAAGGCGAAAGCCGCUGUAUAUGCACUGACGCCUGCCCGGUGCCGGAAGGUUAAGAGGAUCCGUCAAUCCCUUCGGGGACGAAGCGGUGAAUUCAAGCCCCGGUAAACGGCGGUGGUAACUAUAACCAUCCUAAGGUAGCGAAAUUCCUUGUCGGGUAAGUUCCGACCUGCACGAAUGGCGUAACGACUUCCCCACUGUCUCGACCAGGAGCUCGGCGAAAUUGCAGUACGAGUAAAGAUGCUCGUUAAGCGCAGAAGGACGAAAAGACCCCGGGACCUUUACUAUACCUUGGUAUUGGCGUUAGGCGCGGAUUGUGUAGCAUAGGCGGGAGGCUUUGAAACGGUGGCGCCAGCCAUCGCGGAGCCGCAAGGUGAAAUACCGCUCUGUUCUCGUUUGACGUCUAACCUCGACAAGUCAUCCUUGUCAGGGACAGUGCCUGGCGGGUAGUUCAACUGGGGCGGUUGCCUCCCAAAGAGUAACGGAGGCGCUCAAAGGUCCGCUCAGCCCGGUUGGCAAUCGGGUGUCGAGUGUAAUCGCACAAGCGGGCUUGACUGCGAGGACGACGGUCCGAGCAGGGACGAAAGUCGGAGAUAGUGAUCCGGUGCCGGCGCACGGGCGCGGCAUCGCUCAACGGAUAAAAGGUACCCCGGGGAUAACAGGCUGAUCAUUCCCAAGAGUCCAUAUCGACGGGA